AGCCAAUAAAGCACAUGUCAAUCUGUCACUGGCUGUGCCUACAUUCCUGAGGCUGAUUUCAGACCUGCAUGAUAGCUCGAGUAUUGCUUUUAUUUCCUAUAAGAAGUCUUAGAUCUCGCGUCGCCCCCGUACCCCCGCGUCGCCCCGCUAGGGCGACACGGGGGCGAUCUCGCGCCACCGCCCCUCGUCGUCACCACGGUCCUCCUGUCCUCGCCGCUGCCAGAGGCUAGCGCCGGGCAGGCCCUGGGCGCAGCCAAGGAAGGUGGCGGCGGGGAGCUUCUCGCGCUCGGCCAGGCGCAUGGAUUGGAUCCGCCAGAUCCGUCCGGCCCGGGCCUCGGGUUUGAGGCGGCGGCCUCUGCUGGUGAGGGCGGCGUCGUCCGGGAGGCGGGCGGCACUCGCCGGAGUUGUGGACCGCGCCUCCUCGGCCGCGCGGACGGCUAGUUGGCGGUGGAUGCGGGCGCCACGUGGAGGGAUCCCCUGUUGCUCUCCUUCGCCAUAUUUGAAUAUGGCGUCCCCGUGCUGCUGCUUCCUCCUCGUCAAUCCGGCCGGAUCCGGUGGCGGACUGCGCGGAUGUGGUGUUGGGAUAUCUGGAUCGGAGUAAUUUCUUGGCCGGCUGCGACGGCCACGACGCCGGCGGCGCCCCAGGCGCUGUUUCCUUCUUGAAGGCAGCGUCCUCCUCCUGCACCCGGGUGAAAACCCACAACUUUGGUUGGGCGGCGGCGGUGCCCGGCUCCGUCACCUUCUUGAAGGCGCCGCUUUGGGUCCGCGGGGAGGUGGGACAGCUGCAGCGCGUUCUUGGUUCCUGAUGGCAGCGAUUCUCUUUAGUGGUGUCGUUUCGCCAUGGCGGUCGGCUGGUCCGGCUCUCGUGGUGAUUGUGGUGCCCAACUCUUCGACGUGUCUUCCUGGGGUGCUCCCGUCCCGUCCAGAGAGGCUGGAGGUGGAGCGGCUUCAUCUUACACGGAGCUUCGGUGGAGAUGUCAAGUCAUGCCUGACCGACAGGUGCUACGCUUUGUCAUGCCUGGUCGGCAGGUGUUACGCACGACAGAUCUUUCAAAGACUUCAAGCUGUGUCCGCUGGUGGUACUUGACAGCAUGGUGCUGAGGUGUAUCAAUGGCGACCGCGACGCCCUCAGAUGUUUGCGCGCAGGGAGGAGGCGCCGUUGGGCGCCGUGGUGGCGUCGACGAUAGCUGGACCGAGCAAGGUUGAUGCAUUACUACAGUUCUGAAGAUGGAGCGGUGGAAGUUGGUGGCGGCGGCCUCUUAGUGCACGCCGGACCGGUGAGACCCAUGCCCGGCAGACGUCCUGGAUGGGAUCUCAGGUCUUAGAUGUUAGGUUUGGCUGCGAUGCCUGUUUGGUAUUAGGCCCAGGCUAUCUGCGCCCCUUCAUCAACUGGAUAAAGUGGCUAGACGGCGGCUUUAGUCUUACUGUUGUAUUACUUUGUAAGGUCUUGCGAGAAUAAUUAAUAAAGUGGCCGUAUGCAUCGUCCAGAUGCAGAGGCCGGGGGUCAUCC
rnacentral:rRNA from 1 species